rnacentral:lncRNA from 10 species
GGCGUCGGGCCUGGCGGGAAAGUGGAAAACUAUCGGCGGUGGCCCAGGCUCGGUGGCUCACUCCUGGAAUCCCAGCACUUUGGGAGGCCAAGGUGGGGGGAUCACGAGGUCAGGGGAUCGAGACCAUCCUGGCUAACAGGUGAAACCCUGUCUCUACUAAAAAUACAAAAAAAUUAGCCAGGCGUGGUGGAGGCGCCUGUAGUCGCAGCUACUCGGGAGGCUGAGGCAGGAGAAUGGCGUGAACCCAGGAGGCGGAGCCUGCAGUGAGCCGAGAUUGCUGCACUGCACUCCAGCCUGGGCGACAGAGGAAGACUCCGUCUCAAAAAAAAAAAAAAAAAAAGAAAGAAAACUACAGGCGGGGACGGCUUCUCGGUAAUCUCUGAGCUUCGGGAGAAGUUGGAUCCUGCAGCAUUGUGUUUUGCCAUCACUGUUGCAGGCUUUCCAAGUAAAGUUAAAAAGUAAAGGACAAGCAAGGCAAUUGAAAACACUGCCUCAGUAUCUGAACACAAGUAACAGAGUAUGCAAGAGGAGGAGACCUGCACAACUGGAUACACCCAGA